rnacentral:rRNA from 1 species
GUUUGAUGUUCUAACGUUGGCCCGUAAUCCGGGUUGCGGACAGUGUCUGGUGGGUAGUUUGACUGGGGCGGUCUCCUCCUAAAGAGUAACGGAGGAGCACGAAGGUUGGCUAAUCCUGGUCGGACAUCAGGAGGUUAGUGCAAUGGCAUAAGCCAGCUUGACUGCGAGCGUGACGGCGCGAGCAGGUGCGAAAGCAGGUCAUAGUGAUCCGGUGGUUCUGAAUGGAAGGGCCAUCGCUCAACGGAUAAAAGGUACUCCGGGGAUAACAGGCUGAUACCGCCCAAGAGUUCAUAUCGACGGCGGUGUUUGGCACCUCGAUGUCGGCUCAUCACAUCCUGGGGCUGAAGUAGGUCCCAAGGGUAUGGCUGUUCGCCAUUUAAAGUGGUACGCGAGCUGGGUUUAGAACGUCGUGAGACAGUUCGGUCCCUAUCUGCCGUGGGCGCUGGAGAACUGAGGGGGGCUGCUCCUAGUACGAGAGGACCGGAGUGGACGCAUCACUGGUGUUCGGGUUGUCAUGCCAAUGGCACUGCCCGGUAGCUAAAUGCGGAAGAGAUAAGUGCUGAA